rnacentral:misc_RNA from 1 species
GAUGAAGAACGUAGCAAAAUGCGAUAAGUAAUGUGAAUUGCAGAAUUCAGUGAAUCAUCGAAUCUUUGAACGCACAUUGCGCCCGCCAGUAUUCUGGCGGGCAUGCCUGUUCGAGCGUCAUUUCAACCAUCAAGCCCCCGGGCUUGUGUUGGGGACCUGCGGCUGCCGCAGGCCCUGAAAAGCAGUGGCGGGCUCGCUGUCACACCGAGCGUAGUAGAUUUUAUCUCGCUCAGGGCGUGCUGCGGGUUCCGGCCGUUAAACCACCUUCAUAACCCAAGGUUGACCUCGGAUCAGGUAGGAAGACCCGCUGAACUUAAGCAUAUCAAUAAGCGGAGGA